rnacentral:rRNA from 1 species
CGGCGGACGGGUGAGUAACGCGUGGGUAACCUACCCUGUACACACGGAUAACAUACCGAAAGGUAUGCUAAUACGGGAUAAUAUAUUUGAGAGGCAUCUCUUGAAUAUCAAAGGUGAGCCAGUAUAGGAUGGACCCGCGUCUGAUUAGCUAGUUGGUAAGGUAACGGCUUACCAAGGCGACGAUCAGUAGCCGACCUGAGAGGGUGACCGGCCACAUUGGAACUGAGACACGGUCCAA